AGAACGAACGCUGGCGGCAGGCUUAACACAUGCAAGUCGAGCGCCCCGCAAGGGGAGCGGCAGACGGGUGAGUAACGCGUGGGAACAUACCCUCCGGUUCGGAAUAGCUCAGGGAAACUUGGAUUAAUACCGGAUACGGCCUAGCGGCGAAAGAUUGAUCGCCGGAGGAUUGGCCCGCGUCUGAUUAGCUAGUUGGUGGGGUAAUGGCCCACCAAGGCGACGAUCAGUAGCUGGUCUGAGAGGAUGAUCAGCCGCAUUGGGACUGAGACACGGCCCAAACUCCUACGGGAGGCAGCAGUGGGGAAUAUUGGACAAUGGGCGCAAGCCUGAUCCAGCCAUGCCGCGUGAGUGAUGAAGGCCUUAGGGUUGUAAAGCUCUUUUACCCGGGAAGAUAAUGACGGUACCGGGAGAAUAAGCCCCGGCUAACUUCGUGCCAGCAGCCGC
rnacentral:rRNA from 1 species